CCUACGGGAGGCAGCAGUGGGGAAUAUUGCACAAUGGGGGAAACCCUGAUGCAGCAACGCCGCGUGGGUGAAGAAGUAUUUCGGUAUGUAAAGCCCUAUCAGCAGGGAAGAGAAUGACGGUACCUGACUAAGAAUCCACGGCUAACUACGUUCCAGCAGCCGCGGUAAUACGUAGGGGGCAAGCGUUAUCCGGAGUUUCUGGGUGUAAAGGGAGCGUAGACGGUUGGUGAAGUCUGAAGUGAAAGCCCGCGGCUCAAUUGCGGAACUGAAUUGGAAACUGUGUAACUGGAGUACAGGAGAGGUAGGCGGAAUUCCUGGUGUAGCGGUGAAAUGCGUAGAUAUCAGGAGGAACACCGGCGGCGAAGGCGGCUUACUGGACAGUAACUGACGUUGAGGCUCGAAAGCGUGGGGAGCAAACAGGAUUAGAUACCCGGGUAGUC
rnacentral:rRNA from 1 species